UGCAGAGAUAGAAACACCCGAGGAGGCUGCUGAAACUAUGAUUGACGGAGGUGAUUCAGAAACAAAGGACACAAACGGGGUGUCAAUGGUAAAACCCAAAGAACACGACGAGGAAGGUGAUACGG